UUAUAAGAGACAGCAGUAGCCACGGUAAUACGGAGGGUGCAAGCGUUAUCCGGAUUUAUUGGGUUUAAAGGGUCCGUAGGCGGAUCUGUAAGUCAGUGGUGAAAUCUCACAGCUUAACUGUGAAACUGCCAUUGAUACUGCAGGUCUUGAGUAAAUUUGAAGUGGCUGGAAUAAGUAGUGUAGCGGUGAAAUGCAUAGAUAUUACUUAGAACACCAAUUGCGAAGGCAGGUCACUAAGAUUUAACUGACGCUGAUGGACGAAAGCGUGGGGAGCGAACAGGAUUAGAUACCCGUGUAGUCCCUGUCUCUUAUAC
rnacentral:rRNA from 1 species